rnacentral:lncRNA from 1 species
CCAAAUCAAGAAAAUUUCGACUUUCCUUUUGAAGUCUGCAAACCAGAAAUUCUGAAUAAGGAAUCCUGUUAACUCGAAAUAAGGUGUCAGGCACCCCCAGAUUCCGUGGUUCUAGCACGGUCGCUUAAACUAUCAUAAUUAGCCUAUAUCUAAUUUAAUAUAUGUUUUAGCCUAUCGUGCAUUUUAGCUUUAUAACCGCUUUUAAUUAUUUAUUGGAAGAUUUAACAUUAUCUAAAACAUGUCUUGAACCAUGCCAGUGAAAUGCACCCGCGGUCUACGACAUAUUUUAUUUAACGUUGUUGAGAAUUGGAGUUGGGUCACAUGAAAUGCACACCCGAUUUUAAGGAAAUUAAUUUAAAUUACGCGCCUAAAGCAACUACAUACUUUCAUAUUUGUGAGGGCCAUGAUAAAUUUAACUAAAUUGCAUGCCUCGAUUUCUAAGAAUUAAAAUUAAUUAAAUGAGGGCCAUGUAUUUUGAGAUUUUUUUGGCACGACACACCUCAAUUCCGAUUUUAAAGGAAAACUCAAACUAGGCUUUUGAGCGCCAUAAACUAUAUUUUACCUAAUAUUACACGCUUCAAAUCUAAUUAUAAGACGGGUUAAUUAAUUAAUGAAUGCUCUUGGGGAGGUGUGAAAUUACUCCUAAACUAAAGCUUGGAUUCAGUCCAAUAAUUAGAUGACUGGUCUUAAAGAAAAAUCAAACCUUGAUUAAGUGGAACGCCCAAGUGGCUGUAAGCCUAAUUGGCUUUAAUAAACCUUCAUGUCGAAGAAGGCUUAAGUAAAGCCCAUAAUAGACUAAGAUGUCAAAUGAAUACCUGGCGAACACUCAAAGCCCAAUUGCAUGAAUCCAAAUUAACUAAUUAAACAAUACUUUAGUUCUUCAUAAGAGAUUAAAAUAAUAAAAGCUAUUCUCAAACUUUGCAAAAAAAACUUGGACUAAUGCAAAAAAGGUUUCAUGCUAUUAAAUUCCAUCCUACAAUUAACCAUAUACUGAGGUGACCAUAAACUCGUAUACUAUUAACUUCAUUCCCAGAAUAAUUCAAGACCUAUGGCCAAACAACGACACAAUUCUUAAACAAAGAAAACAUCGACUAACAUGAGCCUUAGAUGAACAUUUUUGGUUUCAAAUCUAUGCUGGUCACUUUGGAAAACUCAAUCGACAGUCAAUCCCAAAAUAAAUGCUAAUUUCAUCUUGAGUAAAAUAUAUCUAAACAUAUGUGAAUCGAUUAAACCUUCUAAUGCCAUAAUUCACAAAAAACCCAUAUACAUUCAAACCAUGCUUCAAUAGCCUCACACCCUAAACUACUGGAUUGGAACAAGUAUUAGAGUUUACAUAUCAAAUUUAAUCUUGUAACAUUGUAUCUAAUAACAUAAAAGGAGAAAAUCAUACAUGAGAAAGAACUAACUUAAUACAGAUUUGAUUGAAUUCCAACUACAAAAGAUAAACUGAUCAAAUGUAUAAGCCCAAAGCUUCCUACUCAAAUAAUAACAGAAAGUAUUUCAUUUCACCAUGCCAAAUAAUGUUCAGUAAAUACCUUGUUACAACAAAUAAACAAGGAAAUUCUGAGGUUAAGAAAGAGCAGCAACAGUAAAUCAGCAAAAAUGGAACCAAACGAUAGUGAUUUCAGCCAAGACCAAGCAGCAAAAACAACUUUCAAACCAUUUCAUGAUUUCCAAAUGAAUGAGAAACAUUUUGAAAGUUAUAAGUAUCGAAGUUCAAAAACCCAAACCAGAACCAAAUUGAAUAAGGAAAUGCAGAAAAUUCGGUGUUGUUCUUGCGUCGUUUGCCUUUUUUUCAAAAAUUUUAUUCUUUAAUUUCUGGCUUGUAAGUGAAGAAAGAGUGCCUUUAUAGGCAAGCCUUAGGGAAGCAUAAAAUGGAUUCAGUUUUGUAGAUUAGUCCUUUUAGAAUUUUUAUUUUUGCUCUCAUGUCUUUAAGUUAAAAAUCAGUUUUCUGAAUCAGUCCCAAUCUCGGGUUCUAGGAAGCUUCCCUAUACAGUUACAUGAGAUUCCUCACCUAAAAUUCAAAAUCACCCCUUAGGACCCCUGUUUUUAUCCCCAGAAACCAUGGGUAAAGUUGACCCAGUAAAAUAAACCCAACUGAAUGGGCUGUACUUGACAUUGGGUCAUUAAUGACCUUGAAGCCCAAACUAAAAUCUGAAAUCCAAUUGGUAAUUCAAUGAGGAACAUGAUAAUGACUUGGAUGCUUUCAAAAACUAAAAAAUCUAACUAAUGAUUGAAUUCUCUUUUUUUUUAAAAACUAAUCUAAUGAGCUAUAAUUGACUAAAUGACCAAAAUAACACAAAGUCCCAUCGGGCUGGAUAUCGAACUAAAACAAAAAAUCAGAAGCUAAAAGGUAGAAUGCAUAGACCAACAUAAUUAACCAGACUUUAAAAAAAAUAAACAAAGAAAAUCUAAAAUCAGAAGUUAAUAAGAAAUUUACUAAAUUUAUCAGAAGAAAACUAAACUUAAAGAAAAGAUAGAAGAAAAAGAGAAUAACAGAUGUGAAACAACAUAAAAAGACAAACAAAAUAAAAAGAAAUGCAGAAACUUACCAAGUAUACUCGCAAUCGAUAUUGAUACUCCAACUUAACCCAAGAUAAUGUUAAUCGUUUUUCUCAAGAACCAACAAUCAUCAUUAUUUUGUGGUAAGAUAUCCUUGAAAAACUCAGGAAACUCGAGAAAUAGCCUUGCAUGCAACCAAUUCGAGAAUAGGCAUUUUUUGGUUUUUUAGGGCUUGAACUCAGAUUCAAGAUUCAAUGUGUUCGGGAUAGAUUCGAGGGAAAAGAAUGAGAGAUUUAGGGAGAGGGAACCGUGGGGAUUUCAUGGUGUUGAUUUAGGACUGGUCUGAGGCGGCAGUACCACUGGAGAGGUGGAGGAUUUGGGGGCAGCGCUAGGGUUUGGAGAGUGGUCUUUGAAGAGAAGAGGUGAUGAGAGAUGGGGGAAGGGGAGGGGUCGAACCUUCAGACAAUUUUAUACUGUCGAGUAACCCAGUUCCCAACCAUUGGAUUUAAAGAGAUCAAACGGCUCGGAUUAGGGAUCAAAACGCGGUUGUUUGGGUCGCCGAG